rnacentral:lncRNA from 1 species
GAAUGUUGAAAUUCUCACCCACAAUGUGAUGCUAUCAAGAGAGAUUGCCCGUGAGACAGCAGCCACUGCUCCCAGGCCCGAGAACAGGGGCAGCACCAAAGCUGGUCAGUGUUUCCUCCUUACAGGUCUGAAUGUGCUGCGGAGGAGGGUGCUCCCCAGAGAGCACCCCUGUGACAGAUGGAUGGAUGGAAGGACCCCUGAAUGGCUGAAUUGAGAAGAACGAGCAUAUUAGGAGGCCAUACAAUGGGAGCCUCUCAGGCAGUCAAACAAAGCCGUGGAAACUGCAGACUUAUUUGUAUGUUUUAGUACAUACCUUUGCUUCAUUUUCCCCGUCUCCACCUGGACUGAGGGUCACCUCACCUCUCCUGGUGUCCAGAGCCUCCUUUAGGACAGAUGUUUCAAACUUGAGUUCUCACAAACAACGGGGUCCAGCACUUCUCAACACGGGAAAGCCCUUGAGCCAUCUUUGAUUUGUGUGUUUUGAUCUAAUUGCACUACUCUUCGUUAUACUUGUUUUUAGUAGUGAGUGCUGGUUUAAUUUGUUUCUUUCUGGUCUCCCAGCCCCACUCCAGAAUUUUGGCUCCUGGAGAGGAGGGGCCCUGAACUGGCAUUUUCAGCAAAGCAUCCCAGUGCCUUGAAUCCAGUAAGCAGCCAGGUGUCUGUUGGCUUCAUGGUUUAACAACCUACAAUUUGAAGAAUCGCAGAGAUGAAUUAAAAAGAUAGAGCCCCUGAGAGGCUCCCCGAUCCAGUUGCACUUCCUGCUUAAGCAAAGUAAAGAAAAACAGGAAUGAAAACAUAACCCAAUGGGUUAGGUCCAUGCUGGCCAUUGAUGAGGUUGCAGCCACCAUCAGAAGGCCAAACGGUUAGAAACACACGACGGUGAGGAAGAUGAGCCUCAUUAUCGACCAUCACCUGCAGCCCUACACAGGUGCUCAGAAUCUAACACUUGAUGGCUGGUUGAGAUUGGUGGAGUCCUAAUUAGGGAGGGGGAGUCAGGCUGGCGGGACCCAGGGAAAGCACAAAGAGAAGGCAGAGAAGCUCCAAGUCUGCCUGGCUUCAUGGUCCAGAACACAUAGUCCUCCUGCACAAGUAACUCACAAUCUUCCUGUGUCCAGCUAUCAUUAGACCCUUGGCUGAUAGAAAAUGCAAGUUAGUGCACUGCAACCUUGGUGUUAUCAGUACUGCAUAUCGCUCUCUCCAGCACACAGCACAAGCACCAUCCUAUCAAGUCCCCAGCAAGCCUUUGUCUCCUUGUAGUCAGCUCCUCUCUUGCUGGCCUGCCUGUUGCCUCCUUGCCAUGUAUUUUCCUACUUUCUCUAAUAAAUUUGCCUGUUUUUGUUUUUUUUGAGACGAAGUUUUGCCUCAGCCUCUCAAGUAGCUGGGACUACAAGUGUGCGCCACCACAUCCAUCUAAUGUUUGUAUUUUUAGUAGAGACGGGUUUUCACCAUGUUGGCCAAGAUGGCCUUACCUCUUGAUCUCAUGAUCCACCUGCCUCAGCCUCCCAAAGUGUUGGGAUUACAGGCAUGAGCCACCUCACCUGGCCUAAAUCUGCCUUUCUUAACCUACAAUUGUCUUUACCCUGAGCCACUGGUCCCAGAUAGUCACUGCUCACCCGUGACAAUAUUUCACCACUGAGAUCAUUUAUCCUCAAAAAAGUGAGUAGAAUGGCUACAGAAUUGUGUCCAAAGAAUGAAGGAGCAAAACAGUCUUGGAGCCUUAGGAGCAAAACAUCUCCAUUACUAAUAUCCUCCCAAGUCCACCAAGCCUCAGCCAGGAACGGUUCCCCACUUGUGAAGUGUCUGAUAAGUUCUAGCUUGCUUCCUUCCUUCCUUCCUUCUUCCUUCCUUCCUCUCUCUUCUUUCUUUCUCUUUCUCUUUCUUUUUCUUUCUCUUCCUUUCUUUCUUUCCUUUCUUUCUAUCUUUCUUUCUUCUCUCAAUCUUUCUUUCUCUCUCUCUCUCUCUCUCUUUUUGACAGAGUCUCACUCUGUUGUUCAGACUGGAGUACAGUGGCACAAUCUCAGCUCACUGCAACCUCUGCCUCCCAGGUUCAAGCAAUUCUCCUGCCUCAGCCUCCUGAGUAGCUGGGAUUACAGGCACUUGCCACUACAUCCAGCUGAUUUUUGUAUUUUUAGUAGAGGUGGGGUUUCGCCAAGUUGGCCGGGCUGGUCUUGAACUCCUGACCUCAGGUAAUCCGCCCACCUCAGCCUCCCAAAGUGCUUGGAUUACAAGCGUGGACCACUACACCUGGCUCAUUCAUUCAUUUAUUCAUCUGAUAAGUAUUUAUUGAACAUAAAGUACCACAGACUGGGUGGCUUAAAUGACAGAGAUUUAUUUUCUAACAGUUCUGGAAGCUGGAAAUCUGAGAUCAAGGUGCCGGCAGGACUGCUUCCUCCAAGGCCUCUCUUUUUGGCUUGUAGGAGCCGUCUUCUCUCUGUGUCCUCACAAGGUCGCCCUCCGUGUGUGUCUGUGUCCUCAUCUCCUCUUAUUACGGAGACACCAGUCCUACUGGAUUAGCUCCCACGCUGGUGACCUCAUUCUACCUUAAUUACCUCCAUAAAUGCCCUAUCUCCAAACACAGUCACAUUAUGACAUCCUGGGGGUUGGACUUCGACAUGUGACUUUGGGGGGAUGCAACCCAGCCCAUAAUAAACAGCAAAUACAAUUGGAGCUUCUCGCAGAUACAAAGCCAUCGUUGUGCAGCUCAUGCCCUCCUCGGAGGAAGGAGCCAGUAAGUCACAGAGAUCAGUAACACAGUUGGGGACAAAGGUAUAGAGGAGAGCCAGGCACGGAGGCCUGUUGGAGUACGGGUGCUUUGCAAUUUUAGAAGCCGAGGUCCAGAGGAGGCCGGACUUCAAAGAUGACGUCUGGGCCAAGUGCAGAGAAAGGUGAUGGGUGAGCUGGAAGGAAGCCUGGGAAAAGGCACUUUGGGCAUAGGAUUUUGAGGCACAACUGUGUCCUGCCCGUGGCACAGGAGCACUGGGGCCGGCAUGGGCCAUGUGGUCUAGGUGGAGGUGGGAGGGGAGGCGGGAGAAGGGGUGCCCUCAAGAUCUCGGGAGGCACUGGCCAUGGAGAGCCCUCGGGCUGUUACUUCUACUUUUGCCUUUUACCAAUUAAAAGCAUCCUCCCAUGCAAAGGCUUGAGAAGGAUACAGUGGACUCUGGGGACUCGGUGGGGAAGGGUGGGAAGAGGGUGAGGGAGAAAUGACUACAAAUUAGGUGCAGCGUAUACUGCUCGGGUGAUGGGAGCGCCAAAAUCUCACAAAUCACCACCAAAGAACUUAUGUAAUCAAAUACCACCUGUUCCCCAAAAACCAAUGGCAAUAAGAAAUUUUAAAAACAAAAACAAAAAGCAUCUCCUCAGCGUUGUGUUCGAAGAGCGGGAGCUGCGAGGACCUCACCGUUCGUCACCCUCGGAAGCCGUGCCUCUCAUCUGGGGCCUUGGUCUGGCAUCCCCGGCCAGUGCAGCUCCUUCGGCCGUGGGAUAGGCGGCAGGCGGAGGGGCCAGCCUGGCUGCCUGGCAUCCCCGUGGUUCCUGUAAUAAAUAACAAGCCUCACUGA